rnacentral:rRNA from 1 species
AGAGUUUGAUCCUGGCUCAGAACGAACGCUGGCGGCGUGGCUAAGGCAUGCAAGUCGAACGGACAUGUUUUCCGGGUAACUGGAGUUCAUGUUAGUGGCGAACGGGUGAGGAAUACAUGGGUAACGUGCCCCGGACUCAGGGAUAGCGGCGGGAUCUUCGGAUCCCUUUGCGAAAGUGCCGGUAAUACCUGAUGACCCAGCGGGAUCGCAUGAUCCUGCUGGCAAAGGUCCGCCGGUCCGGGAUCGGCCCACGUCCUAUCAGCUUGUUGGUGAGGUAAUGGCUCACCAAGGCUUCGACGGGUAUCGGGCGUGAGAGCGUGACCCGACACAUCGGAACUGAGACACUGUCCGGACACCUACGGGUGGCUGCAGCAACGAAUCUUCCGCAAUGGGCGAAAGCCUGACGGAGCGACGCCGCGUGGAGGAUGAAGUCCCUUGGGAUGUAAACUCCUGUCAGGGGUUAGGAAGAUCUGACCAACCCCAAAGGAAGCACCGGCUAACUCCGUGCCAGCAGCCGCGGUAAUACGGAGGGUGCAAGCGUUGUUCGGAUUCAUUGGGCUUAAAGCGCGCGUAGGCGGGGUGGCGGGUGCCUUGUGAAAUCCCUCGGCUCAACCGAGGAACUGCUUGGCAAACCUCCACUCUUGAGGCA